rnacentral:rRNA from 1 species
CAGUAGCCACGGGAAUACAGAGGGUGCGAGCGUUAAUCUGAUUUACUGGGCGUAAAGCGUGCGUAGGCGGCUUCUUAAGUCGGAUGUGAAAUCCCUGAGCUUAACUUAGGAAUUGCAUUCGAUACUGGGAAGCUAGAGUAUGGGAGAGGAUGGUAGAAUUCCAGGUGUAGCGGUGAAAUGCGUAGAGAUCUGGAGGAAUACCGAUGGCGAAGGCAGCCAUCUGGCCUAAUACUGACGCUGAGGUACGAAAGCAUGGGGAGCAAACAGGAUUAGAUACCCCUGUAGUCCCUGUCUCUUAUAC